UGGGGCGUCGGCAAGUGGUAAGCCAACAGGUUUUGGUCCUGUCAUUCCAAGGUUCGAAUCCUUGCGCCCCAUCCA
rnacentral:tRNA from 1 species